rnacentral:rRNA from 1 species
UAACUUGGUCAUUUAGAGGAAGUAAAAGUCGUAACAAGGUUUCCGUAGGUGAACCUGCGGAAGGAUCAUUAUUGAAUGAACAUAGAGUCGGUUGUAGCUGGCCCCUUUUAACCGGGGGGCAUGUGCACGCCUUCUCUUUUCAUCCAUACACACACCUGUGAACUUGUGAGACGGAUUUCGACCCUCUCCGGGGGGGAAAGGUCCGUCUGCUAUACAUAAACUCCUGAAUAAUAAAUUAGAAUGUAAUCGAUGUAACGCAUCUUUAAACUAAGUUUCAACAACGGAUCUCUUGGCUCUCGCAUCGAUGAAGAACGCAGCGAAAUGCGAUAAGUAAUGUGAAUUGCAGAAUUCAGUGAAUCAUCGAAUCUUUGAACGCACCUUGCGCUCCUUGGUAUUCCUCGGAGCAUGCCUGUUUGAGUAUCAUGAAAUCUUCAAAAUAAAUCUUUUGUUCACUCGAUUGAUUUUAUUUUGGACUUGGAGGCUUGCAGAUUCACGUCUGCUCCUCUUAAAUUUAUUAGCUGGAUCUCGGUGAGCUCGGUUCCACUCGGCGUGAUAAGUAUCACUCGCUGAGGACACUGUAAAAGGUGGCCGGGAUUGCGGAUGAACCGCUUCUAAUAGUCCAUUGACUUGGACAAUAAAUACUUUAUGAUCUGAUCUCAAAUCAGGUAGGACUACCCGCUGAACUUAAGCAUAUCAAUAAGCGGAGGAAAAGAAACUAACAAGGAUUCC